rnacentral:rRNA from 1 species
UACGUAGGGUGCGAGCGUUGUCCGGAAUUAUUGGGCGUAAAGGGCUCGUAGGCGGUUUGUCGCGUCGGGAGUGAAAACUCAGGGCUUAACCCUGAGCCUGCUUCCGAUACGGGCAGACUAGAGGUAUGCAGGGGAGAAUGGAAUUCCUGGUGUAGCGGUGAAAUGCGUAGAUAUCAGGAGGAACACCUGCGGUGUAGACGGCUUACUGGACGGUAACUGACGCUGAGGCACGAAAGCGUGGGUAGCAAACAGG